GAAAAUAAAGUAGAACUUUUAAAGUCAGAGCUUUACGGCAUGAGACAAAUAUUAUAUGUACUGAAUACAAAACAGUAGUUGGAGGGUUGGAGAAGUAUCUCAAUGGUAGAGUGUGUGCCAAGAAUACAUAAGGACUUGGAGUCAAUUCCCAGUAC